UACGUAGGGGGCAAGCGUUGUCCGGAAUCAUUGGGCGUAAAGCGCACGUAGGCGGAUCGAUCAGUCAGGGGUGAAAUCCCGGGGCUCAACCCCGGAACUGCCUUUGAUACUGGGUAUCUCGAGUCCGGAAGAGGUGAGUGGAAUUCCGAGUGUAGAGGUGAAAUUCGUAGAUAUUCGGAGGAACACCAGUGGCGAAGGCGGCUCACUGGUCCGGUACUGACGCUGAGGUGCGAAAGCGUGGGGAGCAAACAGG
rnacentral:rRNA from 1 species